UGGAACCUGGUGCACGGUGCACGGCCGCUUUCGGUGCGGAAGAUUGCAUAGAUUGGGCGGCAGGUCGGGGUUCGACUCCCCGGGUUCCAC